CCAGACUCCUACGGGAGGCAGCAGUGGGGAAUUUUGGACAAUGGGCGCAAGCCUGAUCCAGCUAUUCCGCGUGUGGGAUGACGGCCCUCGGGUUGUAAACCACUUUAGUAGAGAACGAAAAGGAGCUAUCGAAUAAAUAGCUCUGCUGACGGUACUCUAAGAAUAAGCACCGGCAAACUUCGUGCCAGCAGCCGCGGUAAUACGAAGGGUGCGAGCGUUGUUCGGAAUUACUGGGCGUAAAGGGAGUGUAGGCGGAUAUGUAAGAUAGCGGUGAAAUGCCGGGGCUCAACCCCGGAACUGCCAUUAUGACUAUGUAUCUAGAGUAAUGGAGAGGAUAGCGGAAUACCCAGUGUAGAGGUGAAAUUCGUAGAUAUUGGGUAGAACACCGGUGGCGAAGGCGGCUAUCUGGCCAUUUACUGACGCUGAGGCUCGAAAGCAUGGGGAUCAAACAGGAUUAGAUACCCUCGUA
rnacentral:rRNA from 1 species